rnacentral:rRNA from 1 species
GACGAACGCUGGCGGCGUGCUUAACACAUGCAAGUCGAACGGAAAGGCCCUGCUUUUGUGGGGUGCUCGAGUGGCGAACGGGUGAGUAACACGUGAGUAACCUGCCCUUGACUUUGGGAUAACUUCAGGAAACUGGGGCUAAUACCGGAUAGGAGCUCCUGCUGCAUGGUGGGGGUUGGAAAGUUUCGGCGGUUGGGGAUGGACUCGCGGCUUAUCAGCUUGUUGGUGGGGUAGUGGCUUACCAAGGCUUUGACGGGUAGCCGGCCUGAGAGGGUGACCGGCCACAUUGGGACUUGAAUACGGGCCAGACUCCUACGGGAGGCAGCAGUGGGGAAUAUUGCACAAUGGGCGGAAGCCUGAUGCAGCAACGCCGCGUGCGGGAUGACGGCCUUCGGGUUGUAAACCGCUUUCGCCUGUGACGAAGCGUGAGUGACGGUAAUGGGUAAAGAAGCACCGGCUAACUACGUG